UGAAGGUCAAGAAGCUUGAAAGGGAGAAAAGACUAGAUGUUAUUGUAGAUCGCAACCUAAAUCGGAACUAUGACAUCCAAGAAGUGGAGAUGAUGAUCCAAGUUGCAUUGCUCUGUACACAACCAUCACCAGGCGAUCGUCCAGCAAUGUCAGAGGUGGUUCGGAUGCUUGAAGGAGAGGGGCUGGCUGAGAGAUGGGAAGAAUGGCAGCAUGUGGAAGUUAGUCGUCGACAGGAGGCUGAGCGGCUGCAAAGAAGAUUUGACUGUAGGGAAGAUUCACUCUAUCACCAUGAUGCUAUUGAAUUGUCUGGUGGAAGAUGAGGAAAAAGAACCAUGCCUUGAAUAUUUUUGGAUGGAUUUCUGGUUCCAGCUUUUCUCCUUCGCUAAAUUUUAUUUGGAAUUCUCAUGUGUGUACGUGAUUCUGUGUGUUUGAGCAAUACUCAAACAAUCCAAGGCCUUGUAUUUUGUAUUAUGAAGCUUUUUCUCUAUGUUAAUAUUGAAUAGUGCCUUUUGAAUC